rnacentral:misc_RNA from 1 species
GGUUACCAAGGAAAUGGGGAAGCGUUCCCAUGAAUUCUGCUGCAGAAAGGUUUAGAUAAUUUAACAUUUUGAAGGAACCUAGAAAUGCUGGAAUUCCAAUUUCUGAGAAAUUGUUCAUACUCAGGUCUAGAUAAUUGAGGCGUGUCAAAUUAAGUAAAGAAUGGCUGAUCUCACCUCCAAGGAGGGAUUUCUUUAAUUUCCACCGGUCUCUGCUUCCCUGAGGAUUUCGAAGGUCAAGCUUCACAACAUGCCCAUUUCUGUUGCUACAGCUGAUUCCCUCCCAUGAACAACAGUCUUCUCCAACCCAAGACACCAAUCUGUUUGAAGGGUCGGUGAGGCCUUGUUUAAACUUGAGAAGGGCAUCUCUCUCAUUCUUAAUACAGCUGGCAUUUG